CAGAGUAGGGGAUCCGCGUCAAGUGCCGGCAGAUGGGAUGUCGCCGCCGGACGAAAGCGCUGCGCUGCGAUGGGUCCCCGCGUCCGCUGU
rnacentral:ncRNA from 1 species